rnacentral:rRNA from 1 species
GAUGAACGCUAGCGGGAGGCCUAACACAUGCAAGCCGAGCGGUAUUUGUUCUUCGGAACAGAGAGAGCGGCGCACGGGUGCGGAACACGUGUGCAACCUGCCUUUAUCUGGGGGAUAGCCUUUCGAAAGGAAGAUUAAUACCCCAUAAUAUAUUGAGUGCAACAUUUGAUAAUGAAAACUCCGGUGGAAAGAGAUGGGCACGCGCAAGAUUAGAUAGUUGGUGAGGUAACGGCUCACCAAGUCAAUGAUCUUUAGGGGGCCUGAGAGGGUGAUCCCCCACACUGGUACUGAGACACGGACCAGACUCCUACGGGAGGCAGCAGUGAGGAAUAUUGGACAAUGGGUUAGCGCCUGAUCCAGCCAUCCCGCGUGAAGGACGACGGCCCUAUGGGUUGUAAACUUCUUUUGUAUAGGGAUAAACCUACUCUCGUGAGAGUAGCUGAAGGUACUAUACGAAUAAGCACCGGCUAACUCCGUG